rnacentral:pre_miRNA from 1 species
UACUCACAUGGUUGCUAAUCACGUGAAAUGUAAGUGAAAGCCACCAUGUUGGGUAAA